GUGACGGUGCGACGCCGCGUGGGUGACGAAGGCCUUCGGGUUGUAAAGCCCUGUCAGCUACUAAGAAUCGCGGGCGGUGAAUAAUCGUCCCGUUUGACAAAGGUAGCAGAGGAAGCACCGGCUAACUACGUGCCAGCAGCCGCGGUAAUACGUAGGGUGCAAACGUUGUUCGGAAUCACUGGGCAUAAAGAGCGCGUAGGCGGUCUGGUAAGUCAGGUGUGAAAUCCCCCGGCUCAACCGGGGAACUGCAUUUGAUACUGCCAAGCUAGAGUGCAGGAGGGGGGAGUGGAAUUCCUGGUGGAGCGGUGAAAUGCGUAGAUAUCAGGAGGAACGCCGGUGGCGAAAGCGACUCCCUGGUCUGCAACUGACGCUGAGGCGCGAAAGCUAGGGUAGCGAACGGGAUUAGAUACCCCGGUAGUCCUAGCCCUAAACGAUGGGCACUAAGUAGAGGGGUUUU
rnacentral:rRNA from 1 species